AUUCUUCGGAUGAUUUCCUUUGUGACUGAGCGGCGGACGGGUGAGUAACGCGUGGGUAACCUGCCUCAUACAGGGGGAUAACAGUUGGAAACGACUGCUAAUACCGCAUAAGCGCACAGGAUCGCAUGAUCCGGUGUGAAAAACUCCGGUGGUACAGGAUGGACCCGCGUCUGAUUAGCUGGUUGGUGAGGUAACGGCCCACCAAGGCAACGAUCAGUAGCCGGCCUGAGAGGGUGAACGGCCACACUGGAACUGAGACACGGUCCAGACUCC
rnacentral:rRNA from 1 species